GACGAACGCUGGCGGCGCGCUUAACACAUGCAAGUCGAGCGAAGCGGCGGACGGGUGAGUAACACGUGAGUAACCUGCCUAAGACAUUGGGAUAGCCUCGGGAAACCGGGAUUAAUACCAAAUGGUCUAAGAUGGACUCGCGUCCCAUUAGCUAGUUGGUGAGGUAACGGCCCACCAAGGGGACGAUGGGUAGCCGGCCUGAGAGGGUGAACCGACACAUUUGAAGUGGGAAACGGUGCAAAAUCUACGGGAUGGAGCAGGGGGGAAUAUUGCACAAUGGAGGGAACUCUGAUGCAGCGACGCCGGGUGAACGAUGAAGGCUUUCGAGUCGUAAAGUUCUUUUAUAUGGGAAGCGGUACCAUAAGAAAAAGCCCCGGCUAACUACGUGCCAGCAGCCGCGGUAAUUC
rnacentral:rRNA from 1 species